UGAGAUAAGACAUUCUGGUAAAAAUCAAACUAAACAGUAAACAUUCUAAGACAUUUUUCUUUAGGUGAAGAUUGUUUUGAAACCAUUUUUCAUCCAAUCAAGUUUUAGCUUUUAGUUUUUAUUUUUGUAAACCAAUCAAGUUUUUUAACAAAUAGAUUCCCUAAAAUUUAGAGAAACUAAAUUUUCAAAAGUUUAACAAGCCAAAAACCAACUUUUGUGGGUUUUCAAUAUAAAAAUGAAUUUUGGUUUAUUUUUUAUAAAAUACCGUAUUUUAAUUAAUUAAAAAAUAAAUAAAUAAUAUGUUCAUA
rnacentral:lncRNA from 1 species